GACAGAGGUGCCGAGCGUUAGGCGGAAUCACUGGGCUGAAAGCGUGUGUAGGCGGAUCGUUAAGUACCUUGUGAAAUCCCACGGCUCAACCGUGGAACUGCUGGGUAUACUGGCGAUCUUGAGCCACCUAGGGGCGAGCGGAACAAGCGGUGGAGCGGUGAAAUGCGUAGAUAUCGCUUGGAACGCCGACGGUGAAAACAGCUCGCUGGGGGUGUGCUGACGCUGAGACACGAAAGCCAGGGGAGCGAACGGG
rnacentral:rRNA from 1 species